rnacentral:lncRNA from 1 species
GACACACAGAGAGAAGAUGGCCAUGCAAAGACAGAGGCAGAAAUUGGAGUGAUGUAGCUACAAGGCAAGGGAUGCCAAUGAUUGCCAGCAACCACUAAAAGCUGGGAAGAGGCAGGGGAGGGUCCUUCUCCAGAGCCUUCAGAAGGAACAUAGCCCUGAAGACUCCGUGGUUUUGCACUUCUAGUCUUCAUAACUAAAACACAGACAUUGGAAGACGUAUGAGACUACGGAAACUAAUUUUCUCAAGGUCAACAAAUAGAGUUGGAAAAUAACGAAGGAACAAAGAAAUGCUGACAGAAAAUGAAUUUCAUACUCCAGUAGUGUUACCAAACUACAUUUCCCCAUCAUGGUAGCCUAAGCCAGGAAGUGGAGAAAAGAGAAGGAUGUCAUUAAGUGGAAAAUAAUCAGGGCAUUUUGAGAGUGGUGUUUUUGGCCGUCGAGAUAAGUCAGUCAUUCUGAGGUAUGGAUGGACAGAGAGCAAGCACUGGCAAGAACAAGAAGAGACGAAUAGGUCGGGCUCUCUCUGUGGGUAUAAAACUCUGAGCAGUUCACUUCAAUUCAUUGGAUCUUGGUGGGCCUCAGACCCACUAAUUACUAUAGUUUCUUGAGGCCUCAAGGUUCAUUUUCUAAAGAAGAACUCCGGCCACGUUCAUUUAUAGCUAUCUUUUAAAAAUACCCAAAUCUGGCUGCGCAGUGGCUCACGCCUGUAAUCCCAGCACUUUGGGAGGGUGAGGUGGGAGGAUUGCUUUAGACCAGCAUGGGCAACACAGCAAGACCCCAUCUCUACAAAAAAUAAAUAAAUAAAUAAAAAUUAGCUGGGUGAAGUUGUGUGUGCCUAUAGUUCCAGCUACUCAGGAGGUUGAGGCAGGAGAAUUGCUUGAGCC